rnacentral:tRNA from 1 species
UCUCUGGUGGUCCAGUGGCUAAGACUCCUGCUUCCAAUGCAGAGGGCCUGGGUUCAGUCCCUGGUCAGGGAA